UAGGGUCAGCGAUUGGGGUGAAGUCGUAACAAGGUAGCCGUAGGAGAACCUGCGGCUGGAUCACCUCCUUUCUAUGGAGAAA
rnacentral:rRNA from 1 species